rnacentral:rRNA from 1 species
AUUGAACGCUGGCGGCAGGCCUAACACAUGCAAGUCGAGCGAGCGGCGGACGGGUGAGUAAUGUAUGGGAAUCUGCCCGAUGGAGGGGGAUAACUACUGGAAACGGUAGCUAAUACCGCAUACUAUCAGAUGGACCCAGAGGGGAUUAGCUAGUAGGUGGGGUAAAGGCUCACCUAGGCGACGAUCCCUAGCUGGUCUGAGAGGAUGAUCAGCCACACUGGAACUGAGACACGGCCCAGACUCCUACGGGAGGCAGCAGUGGGGAAUAUUGCACAAUGGGCGCAAGCCUGAUGCAGCCAUGCCGCGUGUAUGAAGAAGGCCUUCGGGUUGUAAAGUACUUUCAGCGGGGAGGCGUUACCCGCAGAAGAAGCACCGGCUAACUCCGUGCCAGCCGCCGCGGUAAUAC